rnacentral:rRNA from 1 species
AGAGUUUGAUCCUGGCUCAGGACGAACGCUGGCGGCGUGCCUAAUACAUGCAAGUAGAACGCUGAAGAGAGGAGCUUGCUCUUCUUGGAUGAGUUGCGAACGGGUGAGUAACGCGUAGGUAACCUGCCUUGUAGCGGGGGAUAACUAUUGGAAACGAUAGCUAAUACCGCAUAACAAUGGAUGACACAUGUCAUUUAUUUGAAAGGGGCAAUUGCUCCACUACAAGAUGGACCUGCGUUGUAUUAGCUAGUAGGUGAGGUAAUGGCUCACCUAGGCGACGAUACAUAGCCGACCUGAGAGGGUGAUCGGCCACACUGGGACUGAGACACGGCCCAGACUCCUACGGGAGGCAGCAGUAGGGAAUCUUCGGCAAUGGGGGCAACCCUGACCGAGCAACGCCGCGUGAGUGAAGAAGGUUUUCGGAUCGUAAAGCUCUGUUGUAAGUCAAGAACGGGUGUGAGAGUGGAAAGUUCACACUGUGACGGUAGCUUACCAGAAAGGGACGGCUAACUACGUGCCAGCAGCCGCGGUAAUACGUAGGUCCCGAGCGUUGUCCGGAUUUAUUGGGCGUAAAGCGAGCGCAGGCGGUUUGAUAAGUCUGAAGUUAAAGGCUGUGGCUCAACCAUAGUUCGCUUUGGAAACUGUCAAACUUGAGUGCAGAAGGGGAGAGUGGAAUUCCAUGUGUAGCGGUGAAAUGCGUAGAUAUAUGGAGGAACACCGGUGGCGAAAGCGGCUCUCUGGUCUGUAACUGACGCUGAGGCUCGAAAGCGUGGGGAGCGAACAGGAUUAGAUACCCUGGUAGUCCACGCCGUAAACGAUGAGUGCUAGGUGUUGGAUCCUUUCCGGGAUUCAGUGCCGCAGCU